rnacentral:ncRNA from 1 species
GAAUGUAACCUGUACGCGAGUCAAAGGGUGGAAAACCUCAUGGCGAAAUGAAAGUCAAGGUCGGUUAACCAGUUGACGUGAAAUCCGUCUCUCGAGGCGGCGCACGACUGGCCAUAUCCCGUCUGCUCGCAGGUGGGCAGCGGUAGGACGUGCAGGUUGCAAUCCGAAAAAUGGUGAGCUAUGCCUGAGCAGGACGAAGUCAGAGGAAACUUCCAUGGAAGUCCGGGCCGGUUCUGACGUGCAACUUGAUCAAUAUUCGUCGCUAUAGGGGCGAACGACUAAUCGAAUCACUAGUAGCUGAUUCCCUCCGAAGUUUCUCCCAUGAUAGCUGGAGUUCUUCGCGGUUAUAUCCGGUGAACAGAAUGAUUAGAGGGCUCGAGGUCAAGACGAUCUCAACCUAUUCUCAAACUUUCAGAGGAUGUGUUGUCGUUGAACUGUUGACACCAACGAGAGCUCCAUGUGAGCCAUUUUUGGCGAGCAGAACUGUCGCUGUGGGAUAGCUACGCAAGGUGCUAUACUCCUCGAGGAGUAUAGCGCCAGUGUAAGAUGCCUAACUUCUCGCUCAUGAGGCUCAAUGAAAGGCGUAGGUUGAUAGAGACGACAGGACGGUGACCGUGGAAAUAGGUACCGUCUAAAAUGCAUGUAACAACUCAUCUGCCGAAUCAGCCGGCUCUGAGAAUGAAUGGCACUUGUACGAGUGAGCUAUACCCAGGGCGCAGCAGUAGGUGGCCAUUGACCACCAGGACUUAAUAGCGUCCUGCAGAU